rnacentral:rRNA from 1 species
ACUGUCUCAGACUAGCCAUGCAUGUCUAAGUAUAAAUGAUAUACAGUGAAACUGCGAAUGGCUCAUUAAAACAGUUAUAGUUUAUUUGGUAAUCGAAUUUACAUGGAUAACCGUGGUAAUUCUAGAGCUAAUACAUGCUGUAAAGCCCGACUUCACGGAAGGGCCGUAUUUAUUAGAUAACAGACCAAUAUUCCUCGUGUCUAUUGUGGUGAAUCAUAGUAACUAAUCGGAUCGCAUGGGCUAGUCCCGCGACAAACCAUUCAAGUUUCUGCCCCAUCAGCUUUCGAUGGUAGUGUAUUGGACUACCAUGGCUUUUACGGGUAACGGAGGAUUAGGGUUCGAUUCCGGAGAGGGAGCCUGAGAAACGGCUACCACAUCUAAGGAAGGCAGCAGGCGCGUAAAUUACCCAAUCCUAAUUCAGGGAGGUAGUGACAAGAAAUAACGGGUCGGGGCUAUGCCCCGGGACUGCAAUGAGAUGAAUUUACACCCCUUUUCGAGUA